GCAACCUACCAUGGGAAUGGGGGAAACGUUCGGAAACGGACGCUAAUACCGCAUACGUCCUACGGGAGAAAGCAGGGGACCUUCGGGCCUUGCGCUAUCAGAUGAGCCUAGGUCGGAUUAGCUAGUUGGUGAGGUAAUGGCUCACCAAGGCUACGAUCCGUAACUGGUCUGAGAGGAUGAUCAGUCACACUGGAACUGAGACACGGUCCAGACUCCUACGGGAGGCAGCAGUGGGGAAUAUUGGACAAUGGGCGAAAGCCUGAUCCAGCCAUGCCGCGUGUGUGAAGAAGGUCUUCGGAUUGUAAAGCACUUUAAGUUGGGAGGAAGGGCAUUAACCUAAUACGUUAGUGUUUUGACGUUACCGACAGAAUAAGCACCGGCUAACUCUGUGCCAGCAGCCGCGGUAAUACAGAGGGUGCAAGCGUUAAUCGGAAUUACUGGGCGUAAAGCGCGCGUAGGUGGUUUGUUAAGUUGAAUGUGAAAUCCCCGGGCUCAACCUGGGAACUGCAUCCAAAACUGGCAAGCUAGAGUAUGGUAGAGGGUAGUGGAAUUUCCUGUGUAGCGGUGAAAUGCGUAGAUAUAGGAAGGAACACCAGUGGCGAAGGCGACUACCUGGACUGAUACUGACACUGAGGUGCGAAAGCGUGGGGAGCAAACAGGAUUAGAUACCCUGGUAGUCCACGCCGUAAACGAUGUCAACUAGCCGUUGGGAGUCUUGAACUCUUAGUGGCGCAGCUAACGCAUUAAGUUGACCGCCCUGGGGAGUACGGCCGCAAGGUUAAAACUCAAAUGAAAUUGACGGGGGGCCCGCACAAGCGGUGGAGCAUGGUGGUUUUAUUUCGAAGGCAACGCGGAAGAACCUUUACCAGGGCCUUGGACAUCCAAUGAAACUUUCUAGAAGUAUGAAUCGGGUGCCUUUCGGGAACCAUUGAAACAGAGUGUGCUGCAUAUGGCCUGUCCGUCAGCUCGUGUCCGUGAGAAUGUCGGUUUAAGUUCCCGUAACCGAAGGCGCAAACCUUGUGUCUCAUAAGUUACCAAGCACGUUAUUGGUGUGCACACUCUCUAAAGAAACUGGCCGGUUGAACCAAUCCGGAAGGAACGGUGGGAAGUGACCUCAAGUCACUCCUGGCCUUUCA
rnacentral:rRNA from 1 species